rnacentral:rRNA from 1 species
GAUGAACGCUGGCGGCGUGCCUAAUACAUGCAAGUCGAGCGAACAGACGAGGAGCUUGCUCCUCUGACGUUAGCGGCGGACGGGUGAGUAACACGUGGAUAACCUACCUAUAAGACUGGGAUAACUUCGGGAAACCGGAGCUAAUACCGGAUAAUAUAUUGAACCGCAUGGUUCAAUAGUGAAAGACGGUUUUGCUGUCACUUAUAGAUGGAUCCGCGCCGCAUUAGCUAGUUGGUAAGGUAACGGCUUACCAAGGCAACGAUGCGUAGCCGACCUGAGAGGGUGAUCGGCCACACUGGAACUGAGACACGGUCCAGACUCCUACGGGAGGCAGCAGUAGGGAAUCUUCCGCAAUGGGCGAAAGCCUGACGGAGCAACGCCGCGUGAGUGAUGAAGGUCUUCGGGUCGUAAAACUCUGUUAUUAGGGAAGAACAAAUGUGUAAGUAACUAUGCACGUCUUGACGGUACCUAAUCAGAAAGCCACGGCUAACUACGUG